rnacentral:rRNA from 1 species
CCUACGGGAGGCAGCAGUGGGGAAAUUGUUCGCAAUGGGCGCAAGCCUGACGACGCAACGCCGCGUGAAAGGGAUGAAAGGUCUUCGGGAUUGUAAACUUCUGUUGCCUGGAAAGAAUGGCUCUGACCCAAUACGUCAGGGUUUGACGGUACCAGGUGAGGAAGCCCCGGCUAACUCUGUGCCAGCAGCCGCGGUAAUACAGAGGGGGCGAGCGUUGUUCGGAAUUACUGGGCGUAAAGGGCGCGUAGGUGGCCUGUUAAGUCGAACGUGAAAUCCCCGGGCUCAACCCGGGGACUGCACUCGAAACUGGCAGGGCUUGAAUCCGGGAAGGGAUGUGGAAUUCCAGGUGUAGCGGUGAAAUGCGUAGAUAUCUGGAGGAACACCGGUGGCGAAGGCGACAUCCUGGACCGGGCAUUGACGCUGAGGCGCGAAAGCCAGGGGAGCAAACGGGAUUAGAACCCCGGUAGUCCUGGGCCCUAAACGAGAAUGCUUGGUGUGGCGGGUAUCGACCCUGCCGUGCCGAAGCUAACGCUAUUAAGCUAUUCCGCCUGGGGAGUACGGUCGCUAGCUAAACUCAAAGGAAUUGACGG